UACAGAGGUCUCAAGCGUUGUUCGGAUUCAUUGGGCGUAAAGGGUGCGUAGGCGGCGCGGUAAGUCGGGUGUGAAAUCUCGGAGCUUAACUCCGAAACUGCAUUCGAUACUGCCGUGCUUGAGGACUGGAGAGGAGACUGGAAUUUACGGUGUAGCGGUGAAAUGCGUAGAUAUCGUAAGGAAGACCAGUGGCGAAGGCGGGUCUCGUGGACAGUUCC
rnacentral:rRNA from 1 species